rnacentral:tRNA from 1 species
GCCUGGGUGGCUCAGUCAGUUGAGCGUCUGACUUCGGCUCAGGUCAUUAUCUUGCCCUUUGUGAGUUUGAGUCCCACGUUGGGCU